UCUUUAUGGUGUGUAUCUGUGUAUGUGUGUCUCUCUGACUGAAUGUUUUGCAGGGAUCAGAUGGACUCUGUGAUAAUAGGUACACAACAAGAAUGAGAUUAUAAAUCUAGACAUAAUAUACUGCACAUGCCCAGAGCCAUAGUGAUCAUUCUAUGAUUCGGGCAACAAUUUUCUCUAUGAAUCUCUGGUGUCUACCUGCCAGUCCAUCCUUUAGCAAGAAGCACAAGGCUAAAGAGAGGAGAAUGUAACCUUGGGAAGAGAGAGGACUGUUCUUUUCUGACAGAAGUAACUUUAAGGUCUAUCCCAGCCUAUUGAGCUGUAGACAGCUCCAGUGCUCCUCUCCAGCCCCUCACAUACCUUCCCCUCCUCUCCUCAACCCACUUCCCAUCAUUCCUCAUCUCUUUUCCCUACGUCACCCUUCUGACUUUAAGCCACCCAUCUCAGUGGAGUGGGAUGUCUUACUCCCCCUGGUGGUGAUUCAUGACAAUGCUCCAAUCAGAGGGAAAUCAAAUGUUGCCGGAAUUCCCUACUCUGUGUAUGAAAAUAAUAAUAAUCCGCCAUCCAACCAAUCAUCAUUUGUGUGGCUCUACGAUUGACAUACGCGGACCCUACGCAGACGUGUUUGCGAACUCAGGCCUCUUCCAUCGCUUGAAGAAGACUUACUUGGUUGUCAUGGUUGCAAUCAUAUACUUUCCAUCUCCAAGAGAAGACUCCCUCAAUUGGAUUCAGGAAAGGAGAAUAUGGUGGAAGGAACACCAUCCUGAAAUGUGGGUGAUUCUCAAACCACUCUCGCACUAGUGCUGAAUGGUGGAAUUGGACAUUGUCCCAAACAACGACAGAAUUCCGCACCAUUUGCUCUUGAUCGCCCUGUGGAAAGAGGAUUUCAUUCAUCCAUCUCUUCUCCCUCUACUCCUCUAUAUUCUCCUCUUCCUACAUCCUCAGCUCUUCUUUCUCCUUCUCCUACAUCCUCAGCUCUUCUUUCUCCUUCUCCUACAUCCUCAGCUCUUCUUUCUCCUUCUCCUACAUCCUCAGCUCUUCUUUCUCCUUCUCCUACAUCCUCAGCUCUUCUUUCUCCUUCUCCUACAUCCUCAGCUCUUCUUUCUCCUUCUCCUACAUCUUCAGUUCUUCUUUCUCUUUCUCCCUCUACCCCUCCUCAUUCGUCUUCUUUGUUGUUUUUCUCUUCCCCUUUUGUAGUUGUUGUAAUCAAGACAGCUGUGUGAACAAUUAAGAAAUUGGCUUUUUCUGUGAUGAGUGGAUUACUGACUCAUCAGAUAUCAAUUUGGGGUUAAUUGAGGACAUAAGGUGUGCAACUGACUAUUUUACAAUUCACAGAGGUUUUUUUGUUGUGUUUUGAAAAUGGUACAAAAAUGCUUGUGAUCUUUGUGAAGAACAAUGAAAAAGCUGCAAAUGUUUUUCCUGAUAUAUUAAAGAUUUGGUUGGCUGUAUUAACUGCUGUGAUAACAUUAGGGAAUUUUGUGCAUUGUUUUGAGUAAAUUAUGCUUUUGAUUUGUAAUUUGGAUGAAAUGAAGGAGAAUUUACUAUCUGUUUAGGACAAUAACAAAGUGUACAGAUCACUGUGUUAAAUGUUUUGAGAGCAGUAACCUGAGUUUGGACAAAUGUUCCAAAUGGAUUGAGAAAAACUGUACCUCUGAAGUCGGAACUGGGAAUGACGUCACACCCGAGUUAACCCAAGUUGAUCGCAUUCCAGUCGGAAUACACGAUCGACACCCCAAGGAAAGCCUUUGUUGCGCUUUCCCUUUCUUUUGAUAAAAACACAUUUAAGUGGUAUUUCACGCAUAUAACACAGUAGCAACAUGUCCACAGACAGCAGUUGGACAGUACUAAAAUUGUACAACAAUGAGAAACAAAUAAACAGAAUUGCUCAAAUAAACAGUAAAACUACUGCUGAUACAACUGUUGAUACAAGGUGCUGCCAUCAUGGAUUACAAACUCUGGGCUAGUGAGGUUGCUCCGACUUUACGAGUUGGAACUCCGACUUGAGGGGGUGUUCCAGUUGAAACUUCCGACUUGGAACUAAGAAAUUCCGACCUCCGAGUACAAAUGGAACACGCUGUGCACUCAUACAACGAACAUAGGCGUUGCUCACACAGUGCGCCGCGCACCCUGACUACUGGCGCCGACCGCAAAUCUGAGAUACAGGCCUACUGUGACGACUGCACCCUCUGCUGCCUCUCCUCCCCCUGCAGCAGACAGGCUCCAGCGUUCGACGUCACCGGCCUUCUGACACCACCGCCCAUCUCAUUCAUGCAUUUCACCUGUGUCUUGUUUAGCGCACCUGGUUCUCAUCCUCAUCAUUCCCCCCAGUAUAUAUGUUCCCUCUGCUUUCCCUGUCGUUGUGUGUUAUUG
ensembl:lncRNA